rnacentral:rRNA from 1 species
UACGUAGGGGGCGAGCGUUGUCCGGAAUUACUGGGCGUAAAGGGCGCGUAGGCGGUCCUUUAAGUCCGCGGUGAAAGCCCGGGGCUCAACCCCGGAGGGUCCGCGGAGACUGGAGGACUGGAGUGUCGGAGAGGAGCGGGGAAUCCCUGGUGUAGCGGUGGAAUGCGUAGAGAUCAGGGGGAACACCGAUGGCGAAGGCACCGCUCUGGCCGAAGACUGACGCUGAGGCGCGAAAGCUGGGGGAGCGAACGGG